AGCGAACGCUGGCGGCAGGCUUAACACAUGCAAGUCGAGCGGGCACUUUCGGGUGUCAGCGGCGGACGGGUGGGUAACGCGUGGGAACGUGCCCUCUGGUUCGGAAUAACUCAGGGAAACUUGAGCUAAUACCGGAUACGCCCUUUUGGGGAAAGGCUUGCUGCCGGAGGAUCGGCCCGCGUCUGAUUAGCUAGUUGGUGAGGUAACGGCUCACCAAGGCGACGAUCAGUAGCUGGUCUGAGAGGAUGAUCAGCCACACUGGGACUGAGACACGGCCCAGACUCCUACGGGAGGCAGCAGUGGGGAAUAUUGGACAAUGGGAGCAAGCCUGAUCCAGCCAUGCCGCGUGAGUGAUGAAGGCCUUAGGGUUGUAAAGCUCUUUUAUCCGGGACGAUAAUGACGGUACCGGAGGAAUAAGCCCCGGCUAACUUCGUG
rnacentral:rRNA from 1 species